rfam:Dipodomys ordii contig_40216, whole genome shotgun sequence.
GGGAAGUUGGCUCAGUGGUAGAGUGCUUGCCUUGCAUGCAUGAGGCCCUGGGUUCAAUUCCUCAGUACCA